GAACCCUAACAUCGAUGCCCCUUUCAAAUGGGAAAUGGAUCCUCUUGUUGCUAGUUCAUCCUAUGCCAUUCAUCCUUUUCUACUUUUUCUUUUGUUCCUUUUGUUUCCUUGCGCCAUUCAUCCUACGUUGCUAUUCUUCUCUAUCUCUGAACAGAGAAAAGAGAAGAUGCCAUCACCAAGUAGCUCCACGGUGAUGAUGGCACUAUUAUUCUUUUGCUUCCUUUGUCUCUAAGAAGAUGAAGCCAUCCUUAGACGAUCACAGUUCCACGGGGGACGAUGGCAUUGCUAUUCUUUUGUUUCCUCUAUAUCCGAGAAGAUGAAGUCAUACUGGGAGUUGUGGAUGUUGAUUUCUUCAACUUGUUUGAGGACGAUUUGGAUGAUACCAACAUCAAUUGAAUUGAAGAACUCUAAUCUUUGCCCUAGAAGUUUUUGUUUGUCCAUUGAACUGGUCAAGGAAUUUCUAAACAACUAAUGUUCCUUCUCCAAUUUUGAAUGUAUUGUGUUUGAGGGUUUUAUUUUCCUUGUGAUUGUAGGUUUAUGAGAGAAUUAUGCCUUUCGUGUUUUUUUAAGUCCACCUUUGUACUUUGAUUGCAUUUUA